rnacentral:rRNA from 1 species
AAUAGAUACCCUGGUAGUCCACGCCGUAAACGAUGAGUGCUAAGUGUUAGAGGGUUUCCGCCCUUUAGUGCUGAAGUUAACGCAUUAAGCACUCCGCCUGGGGAGUACGGUCGCAAGACUGAAACUCAAAGGAAUUGACGGGGGCCCGCACAAGCGGUGGAGCAUGUGGUUUAAUUCGAAGCAACGCGAAGAACCUUACCAGGUCUUGACAUCCUCUGACAACCCUAGAGAUAGGGCUUUCCCUUCGGGGACAGAGUGACAGGUGGUGCAUGGUUGUCGUCAGCUCGUGUCGUGAGAUGUUGGGUUAAGUCCCGCAACGAGCGCAACCCUUGAUCUUAGUUGCCAGCAUUUAGUUGGGCGCUCUAAGGUGACUGCCGGUGACAAACCGGAGGAAGUGGGGAUGACGUCAAAUCAUCAUGCCCCUUAUGACCUGGGCUACACACGUGCUACAAUGGACGGUACAAAGGGUCGCAAGACCGCGAGGUGGAGCUAAUCUCAUAAAACCGGUUCUCAGCUCGGAUUGUAGGCUGC